CGGGUGAGUAACGCGUGGAUAACCUGCCUCACACUGGGGAUAACAGUUAGAAAUGACUGCUAAUACCGCAUAAGCGCACAGUACCGCAUGGUACAGUGUGAAAAACUCCGGUGGUGUGAGAUGGAUCCGCGUCUGAUUAGCCAGUUGGCGGGGUAACGGCCCACCAAAGCGACGAUCAGUAGCCGACCUGAGAGGGUGACCGGCCACAUUGGGACUGAGACACGGCCCAA
rnacentral:rRNA from 1 species